rnacentral:rRNA from 1 species
GACGAACGCUGGCGGCGUGCUUAACACAUGCAAGUCGAGCGGUAAGGCCCUUUCGGGGGUACACGAGCGGCGAACGGGUGAGUAACACGUGGGUGACCUGCCCUCAGCUCUGGGAUAAGCCCGGGAAACUGGGUCUAAUACCGGAUAUGACUCCAUGACGCAUGUUGUGGGGUGGAAAGCCUUGUGCGGCUGAGGAUGGGCCCGCGGCCUAUCAGCUUGUUGGUGGGGUGAUGGCCACCAAGGCGACGACGGGUAGCCGGCCUGAGAGGGCGACCGGCCACACUGGGACUGAGACACGGCCCAGACUCCUACGGGAGGCAGCAGUGGGGAAUAUUGGACAAUGGGCGCAAGCCUGAUCCAGCAAUGCCGCGUGGGUGAAGAAGGUCUUCGGAUUGUAAAGCCCUUUCGACGGGGACGAUGAUGACGGUACCCGUAGAAGAAGCCCCGGCUAACUUCGUGCCAGCCGCCGCUGUAAC